GUCCCUUCGUAGACAUUCCAUAAAAUUAGAACGAUACAGAGAAGAUUAGUAUGGCCCCUGCGAAAGGGUGCCACUAGGGCUGUUCAUUCGGAUCGGAUAUCC
rnacentral:snRNA from 1 species